UGAGGAAAAGAAACUAACUAGGAUUCCCUUAGUAACGGCGAGUGAACCGGGAUGAGCUCAAAUUUAAAAUCUGGCGUCUUUCAGGCGUCCGAGUUGUAAUCUAUAGAGGCGUUUUCCGCGCCGGACCGCGUCCAAGUCCCUUGGAAUAGGGUAUCAAAGAGGGUGACAAUCCCGUACUUGACGCGACAACCGGUGCUCUGUGAUACGUUCUCAACGAGUCGAGUUGUUUGGGAAUGCAGCUCUAAACGGGUGGUAAAUUCCAUCUAAGGCUAAAUAUUGGCGAGAGACCGAUAGCGAACAAGUACCGUGAGGGAAAGAUGAAAAGCACUUUGGAAAGAGAGUUAAACAGCACGUGAAAUUGUUAAAAGGGAAACGAUUGAAGUCAGUCGUGUGAAAGGUAUUCAGCCGUCUCUGGCGGUGUAUUUGCCUUUCACGGGUCAACAUCAGUUUAGUCCGGUAGAAAAAGGCGGGAGGAAGGUGGCACCCUCGGGUGUGUUAUAGCCUCCUGUCACAUGUGCCGGAUUAGACUGAGGAACGCAGCUUGCAGCAAUGCCGGGGUUCGCCCACGUACAAGCUUAG
rnacentral:rRNA from 1 species